CUUGAUUUCCACCAUACACCUGAAGAAGCCCCCACACCACAUGUUAAAAAGUAAACCAAAAUUAUGAAAACAAAAUAUUUAGCACUUGUUUUGCUUUAACUAUUCGGAGAAGCGAAAACCAACAUCGAGAAGCUCAUUAACCGUUCGUAGAAUCAGUUGUGUCCUAAAUCCAAGUGGACGCAUUGCGUCCAGGGCAGCAUCCAUGC
rnacentral:lncRNA from 1 species